AUUGAACGCUGGCGGCAGGCUUAACACAUGCAAGUCGAGCGGGGAAAAGUAGCUUGCUACUUGACCUAGCGGCGGACGGGUGAGUAAUGCUUAGGAAUCUGCCUAUUAGUGGGGGACAACAUCUCGAAAGGGAUGCUAAUACCGCAUACGUCCUACGGGAGAAAGCAGGGGACCUUCGGGCCUUGCGCUAAUAGAUGAGCCUAAGUCGGAUUAGCUAGUUGGUGGGGUAAAGGCCUACCAAGGCGACGAUCUGUAGCGGGUCUGAGAGGAUGAUCAGCCAGACGGGGACGUAGACACGGCCCAGACUCCUACGGGAGGCAGCAGUGGGGAAUAUUGGACAAUGGGGGGAACCCUGAUCCAGCCAUGCCGCGUGUGUGAAGAAGGCCUUUUGGUUGUAAAGCACUUUAAGCGAGGAGGAGGCUACCGAGAUUAAUACUCUUGGAUAGUGGACGUUACUCGCAGAAUAAGCACCGGCUAACUCUGUGCCAGCCGCCGCCGUAA
rnacentral:rRNA from 1 species